GACGAACGCUGGCGGCGUGCUUAACACAUGCAAGUGGAGCGACGAACCGGGCUUCGGCCCGGGGCAAAGCCGCGAACGGGGGAGUAUCACGUGGGUAACCUGCCCCGAUGACCGGGACAACCCGAGAAAACUGGGGCUAAUACCGGAUGUGCUCUCAAUCCACCAGGGUUGAGAACAAAGGAAGCUACGGCCUUCGCCUUGGGAUGGGCCAGCGGGACAUUAGCUUGUUGGUGAGUUAAAGGCCCACCAAGGCGCCGAUGGUUGGCUGGGCUGAGAUGAAGGAGAGCCACACUGGAACUUGGAGACGGCCCAAACUCGUACGGAGGGAAGCAGUGGGGAAUGUUGCGCAAUGCGGGAAAGCGGGACGAAGCAACGCCGCUUGAGGGAAGAAGGCCUUCGGGUUGUAAACCUCUUUCAGGAGGGAAGAAGGUUCAGGCGCGAAUAGCGUCCUGGACUGACGGUACCUCCAGAAGAAGCCCCGGCUAACUACGUGCCAGCCGCCGCCGUAACAC
rnacentral:rRNA from 1 species